AACCAAAAAAACCAAACCCCACCCAUUUCACCCUUGUGGCCUGGAAUGUGCAGUUGGCUAAUGGAUGCUUCCAGUGCAAACCGAAGGAGCCAAUGUCAGCAGGAGAUCUGAAGACACAGCAAGCAUGGUGCAUGUGUGAUCCCAGUACCGGCAAUGUGGAUGCAGGAGGUCAGUUCGCUUGGGCUAAACUUGAAGUUCCAACCCCACCCAAAAUAUGAUGGAACACUAACCCAAGCUGAUCUCUGAUCUCUGCACACACACACCCCAAAUGAAUGUCCACUUCAUCAUAUCCAUCAAAAGUUCAUACCUUUACUUACUGUUUUCUUCAAUUAGAAAACUACGACCCAAAUUCUCAAGGAGACUUUUUUUUACUAUUUAAGGAAAAACUGGAUGGAAGAGAUCUUGGCAGGACAUGAAAUAAUUCUUUUGGCAAUUCUUUAGUGGCUUGAAAGUCAGAAUGGAAUUAAAACUAAGAAGUAAAGGUCAAAGCGAAACUUUAAACUAAAAUUACUAGGGUAAAACUGCCAGGAAGAUUCCUUCUUUAGAAAGCAGCCUCCAACUCUCCCCGCUGCCUUACUGUUUGUGCGUUUUGAACGUACAGUGGUGGUACUGCAGCCAACACUGGGAAGACAGAGGACCCAAGAACACGGCCUGUGUCACACAGCAACUUGGAUUCAGAAGAUUGGUGUCACAAAGGUCUGUAUAGUUUACAAGGUUGAAAUUUUUUAGCCUUUCGUUACCAAGCACGUAAAAGAAAUUGCUACUAGUUUAAAUUCUUGGUAUAUAUCAUACAGUGAGCUGGAUACUGUGUAUAUUAUUUAUAAAAUGACUUUGGUAAACCUAAGUAUUAUGAUGUGAUAAUCUUGCCAACUUGCCUGGACUAAGAAAUGCCUAGAAGAGAGUAAGUGUACUGCUUGGUGUGUCUGUGACACUUCCAGCGAUGAGAGAAUUACACCAUGGGUGGGCUCAUAUGCUGGCAUUACUGAGAGGUGGGAAGGACAGCAGUAGGGCCAGGCUGGAGGAAGCGAGUCCCUUGGGCUGUGUCUUGCCUAACCUCUUUCUUUACCCUCUUUUCCUGCUUCCUGGCUCAUCACAUGAACUACUUUGUUCUAUUGUACAACCCCUGAGAUAAUGGACCAACACCUCUGAAACUGCAAGACAAAAACCAUCUUCGUUCUUUGAGUGUCUCUGUGUUUUGUCACAAAAUAAGGUGUCUGCUAACACGUACCAGGUCUGUCUUUGGAGGAUCUGUACACUCAGCAGAGAAGUAAGGCGCUGAGCUUCGCACUACACUGCUCUCCGAGGCUGGCUUUGGAGGCUGAGCAUGCUGUCUGUAUGUAGCACUUUUAGGAGUCCAGCAAAACAGAUUGACCGACUCACCCUUCAAAUCAGUUUGACACAUCUGCCAUCCAGAAAAGCUUCAAUCAAGUCAGCGAUCCGUAUCAGCAGCACUGUUCCAUCCCGCCACUGGCAAAGGAAAAUGCCAGUCUCCAUCUGAUUCCCGAGCUCUGCAGCUUGGUGUGGUGUGCGGUGAACCCUGAAAGGCUGCAGAGGCCCCACCCAAUUCGACAAUGGCUGUCCCUUUCUCCAUUCAUCUAACCUGUCCGUCUCCCAAUCUUCCCAUAAUUAAAGCAUAAUGCAAUUGUAUCUUAUAA